rnacentral:rRNA from 1 species
AGUGAACGCUGGCGGCAGGCCUAAUACAUGCAAGUCGAACGGCAGCACAGCAGAGCUUGCUCUGUGGGUGGCGAGUGGGCGGACGGGUGAGGAAUACAUGGGAAUCUGCCCAGUCGUGGGGGAUAACGUAGGGAAACUUACGCUAAUACCGCAUGCGCCCUUCGGGGGAAAGCCGGGGGACCUUCGGGCCUGGCGCGAUUGGAUGAGCCCAUGUCGGAUUAGCUAGUUGGCGGGUAAUGGCCCACCAAGGCGACGAUCCGUAGCUGGUCUGAGAGGAUGAUCAGCCACACUGGAACUGAGACACGGUCCAGACUCCUACGGGAGGCAGCAGUAGGGAAUAUGGACAAUGGGCGCAAGCCUGAUCCAGCCAUGCCGC